rnacentral:rRNA from 1 species
UUCGGGAGUAGACUAACAGGAUUCCCCUAGUAACUGCGAGUGAAGCGGGAAAAGCUCAAAUUUAAAAUCUGGCGGUCUUUGGUCGUCCGAGUUGUAGUCUGGAGAAGUGCUUUCCGCGCUGGACCGUGUAUAAGUCUCUUGGAACAGAGCGUCAUAGAGGGUGAGAAUCCCGUCUUUGACACGGACUACCAGUGCUUUGUGAUGCGCUCUCAAAGAGUCGAGUUGUUUGGGAAUGCAGCUCAAAAUGGGUGGUGAAUUCCAUCUAAAGCUAAAUAUUGGCGAGAGACCGAUAGCGAACAAGUACCGUGAGGGAAAGAUGAAAAGCACUUUGGAAAGAGAGUUAAACAGUACGUGAAAUUGCUGAAAGGGAAACGCUUGAAGUCAGUCGCGUUGUCUGGGACUCAGCCUUGCUUUUGCUUGGUGCACUUUCCGGAUGACGGGCCAGCAUCGAUUUUGACCGUCGGAAAAGGGCUAGGGUAAUGUGGCACCUCCGGGUGUGUUAUAGACUUUAGUCGCAUACGGCGGUCGGGAUCGAGGAACGCAGCGCGCCGUAAGGCAGGGGUUCGCCCACUUUCGCGCUUAGGAUGCUGGCGUAAUGGCUUUAAACGACCCGUCUUGAAACACGGACCAAGGAGUCUAACAUACCUGCGAGUGUUUGGGUGGAAAACCCGAGCGCGUAAUGAAAGUGAAAGUUGAGACCUCUGUCGUGGAGGGCAUCGACGCCCGGACCUGACGUUCUCUGACGGAUCCGCGGUAGAGCAUGUAUGUUGGGACCCGAAAGAUGGUGAACUAUGCCUGAAUAGGGUGAAGCCAGAGGAAACUCUGGUGGAGGCUCGUAGCGAUUCUGACGUGCAAAUCGAUCGUCAAAUUUGGGUAUAGGGGCGAAAGACUAAUCGAACCAUCAGCGGCG